ensembl:lncRNA
UCUCAAUGUAUCCCUAUGGGUCUCAGUGUGUCCCAAUGGGUCUCAGUGUGUCCCAGUGGGUCUCCAUGUGUCCCUAUGGCUCUCUAUGGGUCUCAGUGUGUCCCAAUGGGUCUCAGUGUGUCGCAGUGGGUCUCAAUGUGUCCCUACGUCUCUCUAUGGGUCUCCAUGUGUCCCUACAGGUCUCUAUGGGUCUCUACGGCUCUCUAUGGGUCUCAUUGUGUCCCAGUGGGUCUCAAUGUGUCCCAGUGGGUCUCAAUGUGUCCCUAUGUGUCCCUGUGUGUCCCUACGGCUCUCUAUGGGUCUCUAUGGGUCCCUAUGGCUCUCUAUGGGUCUCAGUGUGUCCCAAUGGGUCUCAAUGUAUCCCUAUGGGUCUCAGUGUGUCCCAAUGGGUCUCAAUGUGUCCCAGUGGGUCUCAAUGUGUCCCUACGUGUCCCUGUGUG